rnacentral:rRNA from 1 species
UACGUAGGGGGCAAGCGUUGUCCGGAAUUAUUGGGCGUAAAGAGCUCGUAGGCGGUUCGUCGCGUCGGCUGUGAAAUCCCGAGGCUCAACCUCGGGUCUGCAGUCGAUACGGGCGGACUGGAGUACUGCAGGGGAGACUGGAAUUCCUGGUGUAGCGGUGAAAUGCGCAGAUAUCAGGAGGAACACCGGUGGCGAAGGCGGGUCUCUGGGCAGUUACUGACGCUGAGGAGCGAAAGCGUGGGGAGCGAACAGG